UAUACUUCCCUCCUUCAACUGGAUCAUUUUACUCUUGCAGAUUGAUGAUCUGGCAGCACAGCUGGAAUCUGCCUUUUCAGAGUGUCUAUAUCUGGAUUCCAAAACACAAGUUCUUCAACAGAAAUUACUGUCUAUGAAAGGAAUGCAAAGGGGAUGUGAAGAACUAGAGAUGCAUUAAGAGAAGUUGGAACAGGAAGUAGCAAACCUAAAACACCACAUAGAAAUGAAUAAGGCACAGGUAGCAUCUCAAGAAAAAAUGGGAGAAUAAGUAUGUUUCAAUGAGAAGUCAGAUGGAACUCAAAAUGAGAGAUCUGGAAUCUGAACUCUCCAAAGCAAAAAGUUUUCACUAAUAUUCUAAUAAAUCAGGAUUGGAAACAUAUAAGUGACUCUACCUAGAAGAACAAAAUUUUAGAAAGUGAUUGGAAAAUAUAAUGAUCAAAUUUUUUUCAGUUAUCAAAAACAUGCUGAUGUGGGCCUUUCACAAAAGCAAAGUAACAUCAAGUAGACUUUUGAAAAGUGGGGGAUAACGUGUAGCCGCCUUUGCAGCUGUUUCCGUUUUUCUUGAUCACCAAGUGGACGCUCUCAUCCUUCCCUUGAGGCUGUUGAUCUGAAUUAUUCCUCAGGGCCACAUGCUUGACUUCUCCAAGGUAACGAGUGGUUUAUUUUUUAUCCCUUUAUUGGUUUCCUUAAAAUAUGUCUAAGUGCUGGCAUUCCAAAAGG
rnacentral:lncRNA from 1 species